AUCACUAAUUAAAUUAUUCUCCAAUCAUGAAGAUCUUUGCUAAUCCCUCCGGGGGAGGACCAUAUCUUGCCAUAAUGUCCACACCUUGGUUGUUUUAGUCAUUAUUUAAUGAUGAAGAUCUUGACUGUUACCUAUGUGGCCAAGGAGAGUAUAGAUCAGGCUCCCAAAUGGAUGUGGUACCCAAAUUCCCCUGUCCCAGAAGAAUAGAGAGUUCAACUAAGUUUUGGAAGAAUACCAGUUUGGAUGGGACAGGCCAGCCCAGACCAUGCACAUUUAAGGCAUCAUAUCAUACCCUCUACGAGGGACAGACAACAAGAAAUCUCCUGACCCUGGAUUCCGUCUCCCACUCCUGGUCUUGCAUCCUUCCUUUGAACUUGGUGAUGGUACUUGGUCAUCUGGCUUGGAAUAUAGCCAUCUCCUUCUCAAGGAUUUGAUGUCCACUCAAACCAUUCACCUGAAUCAGGUUGUUCGCACGGAGCCCGUGGAGGUGUGGUUGCUUGAGCACAAGGCUUCCUGAGGACACUUCCAAUGGGUGGAGCCCUUGCUUCGCUGGGAGUACUUCCCAAGGGGGUGCCCACCUGGAGGAAGACUGUGGUCCCCAAGAUAGCUCCAUGCCUGGAACAUGCAGGAGGCGAUGCUGCUGUUAGGGAAGAAGCUGUCUGUAGGUGGUUCUUCUCUGCGGUACUAAGGAGAGGUUUCCUUUGGCGUACUCGAUCUUUUAUGACAGAUCGUUCCCACCGACCACUCUUCAAUAUCAAAUACCAGCUUGGAAGACUUCCUGAAUGAGACAGAAGUUGUCAGCUCCAGUCCAGGGAGGACUUCAUGGAGGCGACGCCAACCUCUGGGAAAGGAAGUGGUUCUUGGCCGGCUCUAAAGCGGGGGCACAGAGAACCAACCACAGCUCACCUGGAAGAUUACUUGGACCCAUAGCCAAUUCCACGCAGGGGCCUGGGUGUCACUCCACUGCAGACCACAUCACCUGCCUCUUGACCACAAAAUGCGGGAUUUAUUUGUGAAUUCUCUCCUGACGCAUUGACCUUGGGAUGCAGACCAUUGCUGGGGCACUCCCUGCUGAGGCCUGAUGGACUUCCAGAAAGAGACUAUGGCUCCCCCAUCAGGAAGGCUCCAAUUCCUGGAGAGUGGUGUAAAUAAAUGUUCUCUGUACUGGUGGAAAAUAUUUCACAAGUGACCUCUUUUCAGUAUCAGGUCUUAAAGGUUUUCCUGGCUGACCUCCAGAAACCAACCCAGGACUCUCCAUUCAGACUCUCCACUUGCAUAUGACACAUGACAUCUGGUCUACCCAGGGCCAUGUA